rnacentral:rRNA from 1 species
UCAGGGAAGAAAAAAAUGACGGUACCUGAGGAAUAAGCAUCGGCUAACUCCGUGCCAGCAGCCGCGGUAAUACGGAGGAUGCAAGCGNUAUCCGGAAUCAUUGGGCGUAAAGCGUCCGCAGGUGGCACUUCAAGUCUGCUGUCAAAGGUCNGGGCUUAACUCUGAACAGGCAGUGGAAACUGAAGCGCUUUAGUGCGGGAGGUGCAGAGGGAAUUCCUGGAGUAGCGGUGAAAUGCGUAGAGAUCAGGAAGAACACCGGUGGCGANAGCGCUNUGNAUCCUCGAAACUGACCCUGANGGACGAAAGCUAGGGGAGCGAAUGGGAUUAGAUACCCCNUAAUACCCCUUUGUAAACGAUGGAUACUAGGUGUUGUUUGUAUCGACCCACNCAGUGCCGUAGCUAACGCGUUAAGUAUCCCGCCUGGGGAGUACGCNCGCAAGUGUGAAACUCAAANGAAUUUACGNGGGCCCGCACUAGCGGUGGGAUUGAUGGUUUAAUUCGANGNGNCNCGCANANCCUUACCAGGGCNNGACAUGCCCGGAAUCUCAGGNAAACUNUCGAGUGCCUACNGGAACCGGGACACAGGUNGCGCAUGNNUNUCGUCANCUCGUGUNGAGAGAUGUUGGGUUAAGUCCCNCNACNAGCGCAACCCUCSUUCUGAGUUNCCAGCAUUAAGUUGGGCACUCUACACAGACUGCCGGUGACAAACCGGAGGAUGGUGACUANGACGUCAAGUCAGCAUGCCCCUUACGCUCUGGGCUACACACGUACUACAAUGCUAUGGACAAAGGGCAGCAAGUUAGCGAUGACAAGCAAAAGACAUAAACCAUGGCUCAGUUCAGAUCGCAGGCUGCAACUCGCCUGCGUGAAGGCGGAAUCGCUAGUAAUCGCCGGUCAGCCAUACGGCGGUGAAUACGUUCCCGGGCCUUGUACACACCGCCCGUCACACCAUGGAAGCUGGCCACGCCCGAAGUCGUUACCCUAACCGNNGCGGAGGGGGAUGCCGAAGGC